AUUGAACGCUGGCGGCAUGCCUAACACAUGCAAGUCGAACGGCAGCAUGACAAGAGCUUGCUCUUGUUGAUGGCGAGUGGCGGACGGGUGAGUAAUAUGUAGGAAUCUACCUAGAGGUGCGGGAUAACUUAGGGAAACUUAAGCUAAUACCACAUAAGCCCUACGGGGGAAAGCAGGGGAUCUUCGGACCUUGCGCCUUAUGAUGAGCCUACGUUGGAUUAGCUUGUUGGUGGGGUAAAGGCCUACCAAGGCGACGAUCCAUAGCUGGUCUGAGAGGAUGAUCAGCCACACUGGGACUGAGACACGGCCCAGACUCCUACGGGAGGCAGCAGUGGGGAAUAUUGGACAAUGGGGGCAACCCUGAUCCAGCAAUGCCGCGUGUGUGAAGAAGGCCUUAGGGUUGUAAAGCACUUUCAGUGGGGAGAAAGUUUGUGGUGAUAAUACCACCAUCAAAUUGAUGUUACCCACAGAAGAAGCACCGGCUAACUCUGUGCCAGCAGCCGCCGUAA
rnacentral:rRNA from 1 species